UUGCCCUAGUAACGGCGAGUGAAGCGGCAACAGCUCAAAUUUGAAAUCUGGCUCUUUCAGAGUCCGAGUUGUAAUUUGCAGAGGGCGCUUUGGCUUUGGCAGCGGUCCAAGUUCCUUGGAACAGGACGUCACAGAGGGUGAGAAUCCCGUACGUGGUCGCUAGCUAUUGCCGUGUAAAGCCCCUUCGACGAGUCGAGUUGUUUGGGAAUGCAGCUCUAAAUGGGAGGUAAAUUUCUUCUAAAGCUAAAUAUUGGCCAGAGACCGAUAGCGCACAAGUAGAGUGAUCGAAAGAUGAAAAGCACUUUGGAAAGAGAGUCAAACAGCACGUGAAAUUGUUGAAAGGGAAGCGCUUGCAGCCAGACUUGCUUGCAGUUGCUCAUCCGGGCUUUUGCCCGGUGCACUCUUCUGCAGGCAGGCCAGCAUCAGUUUGGGCGGUGGGAUAAAGGUCUCUGUCACGUACCUCUCUUCGGGGAGGACUUAUAGGGGAGGCGACAUACCACCAGCCUGGACUGAGGUCCGCGCAUCUGCUAGGAUGCUGGCG
rnacentral:rRNA from 1 species